UACAGAGGUCUCAAGCGUUGUUCGGAUUCAUUGGGCGUAAAGGGCGCGUAGGCUGCGGGGCAAGUCGGGUGUGAAAGCCCCGGGCUCAACCCGGGAAGUGCACUUGAAACUGGGAGGCUAGAGUAUCGGAGAGGUUGGUGGAAUUCUCGGUGUAGAGGUGAAAUUCGUAGAUAUCGAGAGGAACACCGGUGGCGAAGGCGGCCAACUGGACGAAUACUGACGCUGAGACUCGAAAGCGUGGGGAGCAAACAGG
rnacentral:rRNA from 1 species